CCAAAAUCAAAUCUUUUCAUCUGGGUCAUCUCAACAAUUAAUAUUUCAUGAUGGCUGAUGUUAAUGCACAAAUAGAAGAAUUGUGUAUGGAGAAAAAGCGCAUUAGGAACCCUCUUGUUCCUAUUGUGCUUCACUUGAAUAUGUUGCAUUGGAGUAAUAUAAGAGACAUUGUUGGAGUUGUCCCAAGCAUUUAAUUUCCUCAAUAUCCAAUUGAUCGAUGCUAGUUCUAUCAAUAUAUUCAUGCUGAAAUAAUAGAAGAUGCGUCCGUGCUUUGAAAGGCUUCCGUUUUGCUAGGUGCGUUGAUGACAGCAGGAGUGCUCACAGCCGGUCUGAUUAGUUUCAGACGGGGGAAUUCUGUUCUGGGACAGAAGCUAAUGAGGGCUCGUGUGGUCGUUCAAGGUGCCACCGUUGCCUUAAUGGUUGGCACGG